UAUUUCGACGACCAAUUGUAGCGUCACCUUCAACUGUAGAUAAUAUAGUUAAAAGUUGUGUGGCACUGCACAAUUGGCUUCGAGAUUCAGAUCUGAAAGUUUUACCUGGUCAGAGAAAAUAUAUUCCAGUAGGAUUUAUAGAUGAAGAAGAUCGCUUUGGAAAUGUAGAACCUGGUCAAUGGCGAAACGAAGCACCAUCUGGUGCACUUAGAGAUUUAGCACCAAAUAUAAGAAGAAACUCAGCAAAUGAUGCCAAGAUAAUACGAAAUACAUACGCAGAUUAUUUUAUGAAGGAAGGUUAUGUACCUUGGCAAUGGAAUAAGCUACCAAACUUUCAACGAGAAGCAUACAUGCAACAGGCAUAAGGCUGAUUUUGAGAAUGACUACUCAUUCGAUGACUAGUCUGAGGACGAGACGAGACACUAUCAGGACGAGGAGAAGCACUAUUAGGACGAGAGGAGGCAUAAUGAGGACGAGGGGAGGCGCUAUUAGGACGAGUGGAGGCGCUAUUAGGACGAGGGGAGGCGCUAUUAGGACGAAGGGAGGCGCUAUUAGGAUGAGGGGAGACACUAUCAAGACGAAUCAAAGCACUGUUAGAACGAGACAAAGUAUUAUUAGGACGAGGAGAGGCACUGUUAGAAGGACGAGACGGCAUAUUUAAUAAAUGCGGUGAACAAAA